rnacentral:rRNA from 1 species
AAUAGAUACCCAGGUAGUCCACGCCGUAAACGAUGUCGACUUGGAGGUUGUUCCCUUGAGGAGUGGCUUCCGGAGCUAACGCGUUAAGUCGACCGCCUGGGGAGUACGGCCGCAAGGUUAAAACUCAAAUGAAUUGACGGGGGCCCGCACAAGCGGUGGAGCAUGUGGUUUAAUUCGAUGCAACGCGAAGAACCUUACCUACUCUUGACAUCCAGAGAACUUAGCAGAGAUGCUUUGGUGCCUUCGGGAACUCUGAGACAGGUGCUGCAUGGCUGUCGUCAGCUCGUGUUGUGAAAUGUUGGGUUAAGUCCCGCAACGAGCGCAACCCUUAUCCUUUGUUGCCAGCGGUCCGGCCGGGAACUCAAAGGAGACUGCCAGUGAUAAACUGGAGGAAGGUGGGGAUGACGUCAAGUCAUCAUGGCCCUUACGAGUAGGGCUACACACGUGCUACAAUGGCGUAUACAAAGAGAAGCGACCUCGCGAGAGCAAGCGGACCUCAUAAAGUACGUCGUAGUCCGGAUUGGAGUCUGC